rnacentral:rRNA from 1 species
UACGUAGGGUGCGAGCGUUAAUCGGAAUUACUGGGCGUAAAGCGUGCGUAGGCGGUUCGUUAAGUCAGCUGUGAAAGCCCCCGGGCUCAACCUGGGAACUGCGGUUGAAACUGGCGAACUAGAAUCUGGCAGAGGGGGGUGGAAUUCCACGUGUAGCAGUGAAAUGCGUAGAGAUGUGGAGGAACACCGAUGGCGAAGGCAGCCCCCUGGGCUGAGAUUGACGCUCAGGCACGAAAGCGUGGGGAGCAAACAGG